GCACAAGCAGUGGAGUAUGUGGUUUAAUUCGACGCAACGCGAAGAACCUUACCUGGGCUAGAAUGCCUCUGACAACCCUAGAGAUAGGGCCUUCUGGGUAAAACCAGACAGAGUGCAAGGUGCUGCAUGGCUGUCGUCAGCUCGUGUCGUGAGAUGUUGGGUUAAGUCCCGCAACGAGCGCAACCCUUAUCAAUAGUUGCCAGCAUUUAGUUGGGCACUCUAUUGAGACUGCCGUUGACAAAACGGAGGAAG
rnacentral:rRNA from 1 species